AUAACCUGCCAGACAGGGAAACUGCGUACGGCUCAUUACACCAGCCUUAAUUUACUUGACCUUGACAACCUACUUGGAUAACUGUGGUAAUUCUAGAGCUAAUACAUGCACCAAAGCUCCGAUCCUCGCGGAGAGGAGCGCAUUUGUUCGCCACAAAACCAAGCGCCCAUCUGGGCGUCCAGUGCUGAACCAGAACAACUCAGCUGAUCGCACGGUCUUGUACCGGCGACGUGUCUUUCAAGUGUCUGCCUUAUCAACUUUCGAUGGUAGUGUACCUGACUACCAUGGUUGUGACGGGUAACGGAGGAUAAGGGUUCGACUCCGGAGAAGGGGCCUGAGAAAUGGCCACUACGUCUAAGGAUGGCAGCAGGCGCGCAAAUUACCCACUCUCAACGCGAGGAGGUAGUGACGAGAAAUAACGAGACCGUUCUCAUACGAGGCCGGUUAUUGGAAUGGGUACAAUUUAAA
rnacentral:rRNA from 1 species